CUACUGUUUUUCAGAGCAUAAAGUAAAUAUCAGGACUACUACCAGCCAACUUAAGGAUUCGUGCAUGGAUGAGAGGUGGUUACAGCAAUAAAGGAACUUAAGGAAGCAGGAGAGACAGCCUUCAGAACUGUGAAAAAUAAAUCUAUACUGUUGAAUCUCCUCAGCCUAUGGUGUUUGGUUAUAACAACCGAGAAGACCAAGACUUGAGUCUUUCACAGAGAUAAUCAGGUUCCUAAAAGGCAUUCAUUUAGGUGGGUCCUGAUCCAAGAGACAAGCUACAAAGACAGGCAUGCACAGAAGAGACCAGGAGCAGACACACGGGGAAUAUAGGAGAAGGAAGCUUCCAGAAAUUGCUCGUAUUCCUCGGUUCAGGAGAGAAGUGAAUGGAGUACUGAAUUCCCAGCUCUACUUCCACUGUAACAACUCUGAGUCAGAUCCUCCAGUCCCUCUCUUAUAAGAACCUGUGUGAUUACAUUGGAGCCACCCAG